UAUAUUAAAACAAUGAUUUUCGGGAUUCGUUGAUCGAUUUUCCCAUCGUCUCCAUCAUCCGAUCAGCCAUCAUAUUAUAGUCUGAAGCCUGUCCGGAUUCUUGGAAGAAGACUGGUUUUCUUUUCGGACAUUAAAGUUUUAUUGUCUAAAUUUCCCCGGUCAUCUUGCAUGUCCGACGGUUAGAUAAUAAGCUUUCUUGAAUGAAAGAAUUAUCACGGUGAAUUGCCGAGUCA